UUUUAAGACUCUUAAAAUGUGUGUGUGUUUGAAACAAUACAAAGAAGAUUAGCAUGGCCCCUGAGAAAGGAUGACACACAAAUCCGUUAAGCUUUGCAUACUUUU